CCUACGGGCGGCAGCAGUGAGGAAUAUUGGUCAAUGGACGAGAGUCUGAACCAGCCAAGUAGCGUGAAGGAUGACUGCCCUAUGGGUUGUAAACUUCUUUUAUAUGGGAAUAAAAUGUUCCACGUGUGGGAUUUUGUAUGUACCAUAUGAAUAAGGAUCGGCUAACUUCGUGCCAGCAGCCGCGGUAAUACGGAGGAUCCGAGCGUUAUCCGGAUUUAUUGGGGUUAAAGGGAGCGUAGGUGGAUUGUUAAGUCAGUUGUGAAAGUUUGCGGCUCAACCGUAAAAUUGCAGUUGAAACUGGCAGUCUUGAGUACAGUAGAGGUGGGCGGAAUUCGUGGUGUAGCGGUGAAAUGCUUAGAUAUCACGAAGAACUCCGAUUGCGAAGGCAGUUCACUGGACUGCAACUGACACUGAGGCUCGAAAGUGUGGGUAUCAAACAGGAUUAGAUACCCGAGUAGUC
rnacentral:rRNA from 1 species